GCCAGUGUGGCUCAGUGGGGAGAGCGUCAGCCUGCGGACUGAAGGGUCCCGGGUUCGAUUCCAGUCAAGGGCA
rfam:Myotis davidii contig152767, whole genome shotgun sequence.